GCAUUUCAACCAAAACUUUUAAAAGUAGGUUUGGGAAAAGGGACCCAUAUUCUGCUACUGCCUCGUGAAAUGAACAGGUUCAAACUAAAGUUUCAGGGUAGGCUCAUGCCCCACUUCAACUGCAUUGGAGAAUUUAAAAUGUAGGUCCAGGAACUCCACAAUGGGGUCUCCAAGGAGGUGAGCUGUGAAGAGUCAUAACAACACACCUUCUUAGCCCGCUUCUUGUCUCUGGGAGCAGCAAAGGUGCUGGGGGCAAACUGGUUCUGGCUUGGGAAUGGCUUCGAGCUCCAGCCUGUGGCUCCACAGCAUCCCUUUUUCCCUGAACAAGUGCUGCAUGGGAAUGAUGGAGCAGACACUUCAGUGAGGUUCUGUGCUGCACCACACAAGGCAAGCCUUGUGUCAUCAGGGAUCAGCAUAGGUAGGGAAGGAGAUACGGGAGUUAAAGGUCUCUGAUGCCCUUAUUUUCAGAGGCAAUCAGCAAUUCUGGCUGCCUUCAUUGUGUGUUCCUCUCAGGGCAGCUUCAGCUGAGCUGGUUUACAGGGGCUGUAGCUACCUCCUAUUCUGGAAGUUGAGGCCUUUGAAGGCCUUUCAGGUGGGAAAAAAGGGAGUGGGUUGCUCUGCCAUUGGUGAAAAAUGCAGUCCAGGAACGCAGCUGUGCGUGGCCCCCAGAGGCUCCCCAGGCUACAGCCAGCCUCAUCCUGCCACUGCUGGCUCAGCAGCAUCCCCCCAAAACCGAGGGCUGCCAAGCUCCAUGAGCAGUGAUGGGACACAGUUCUUGUGUUGCAGCUCUCCCUGUGUCCCCUGUGGGAUGCAGUCAGGGCUGGGAUGGGCUGGAAUGGGUGGCUACGGGAUGGAACCUGGUGUAGGGAGGGCAGGGAAGGAGCUGAACAGCUGCUGCCUUCUUUUCCUCCCGCUGUGUGCUGCAGGAAGCACCCUGAGAGGAGUCAAGUUCCUCCUGCUCCCAUUCUCUUCAGGUCUGGAGUCUGUUUGUUGGAAAGAGUGAAAGAGGAGAACAGAGGAGUGGUCAGUAAUUUUCUCAUCCUUCUUUCACAAUCUCUUCCAACCCUUCUCUCACAGGAUCUCCAGACAGAGGCUGGAGGACAUCAGCCAUCCCUUUUGUGGAGCCAGCAGCCUCCCUUGUGGACACAGGCCCUGUCUCUCACGUAGCUGUAUGAGCAUUGCUCUGUCCCUGGCAGCCUGCCCAGGCACUGCCACAGCUCAGGGGUGGCCCUGAGUCCCGAGGGCGUCAGCAGCACAGACCCACUGCACCCUCAGCUUUUUGGCAUCCACCACCCCCUGCAGCCCUGUGCCACCCCCCCAUUGCCAGCCGACGUGCCGCUUGCCCGAGACAUGCCUGCCGGAGCUGGUCUGCGCCCUUUUGCCCCUGAAAACAAAGCUGUGGGGGAUGCUGGAAAGCAGUGAGGCAGAGGGAAGGGGUGCAGGACUCCAGCUUGCCUCUCGCCCUGUGUCCCGCUGGCCGGGCGAGCUGUUUGCUCGUGCUGCUGCAGCCAGCCCUGGGAUGGUGCAGACCAGCGGCUGCCAAUUGACGUCAGAGGAGCGCCGGUGGUUUGUGUGAGCUGAGGGACUGCUUCUACUCCAGCUUUUUCCCUCCAGGAGUGAGGAUUUGUGGCCCCAAAGCUGUCUGGGAAUGAGGAGUGGAACAAGCCUGACACUGAGCCCCAGCUGGAGUGAACCUUUCAGACGGGGUCAGCUUCCGUCAGGGAUGAGGAUGAGCCUUCACACCCUGUGAUCCUGCAUGCCCUGCAAGCCUCUCUUGCCAGUGCAACACCUGAGCACAGAGGGGUCCCUGGGUGCUGUCUGCAGGUCCUGAAUUUUCCCUUUCAGGUGUAAUUUGGUGGUGUUUAGACCAGGGCCUGCUGUUCCCACCAUGCAGUAGCCACACUUGCUACUUGGGCUAAUGAAAUGCCCUUCUUGCCUGUUAGCAGGUAAUUAUCCUGUGGAAUUUUCAAGCGCUGGAUCUUUGUCAUUUUUUGAUGAUUUGGUGUAAGCAACAGCAUAAUCAGUGGCUGGAGAACUCAGGAGAAGUCUCAGGAGCCAGUGUGCAAAUCAUUCCUCCCCUGCUUUGGCUAAGCAGAGGCAGCUCACAUGGAGCCCACAGACCUGGUGCCUUUUGUGGGGUCAGGGGAGGAUGUGCCAGGAAAGUCCUGCCUCAUUGGAAAAUGGAGAAGCAAGAGAAGCACUGAAACCUGGGUGGGGUGACUGAGAAAAUUUCUAUUAGAAAUCAAGUGGAGAUGCAACUCCUGUUAAUUCAGAAGCACAGAAUUUUGCCGGCUGAGAUCUUAAAAUUUCCUUUUGUACACAAGAAAAAGAAAAAUGCUGAAUCUAUGCAAAAAGUAGCCUUACAAAAACAUAUAGAUAUAGAUAUAUGAGUACAUCUCAUAAACUGCCCUUUCCCAUCCCUCUUUUCUCCCAGUCAGGUUACAAAAUUUCCUUCUGUUGGUGACAGCAAAGUACCCUGGCUGCCUGAGUCCCCACCUGAGGCAGUCUGGAAGAAUUGGACAAGCCAUAAAAAUACACUGAUUUUCACAUUC